rnacentral:rRNA from 1 species
CCUACGGGUGGCAGCAGUGAGGAAUAUUGGUCAAUGGGCGAGAGCCUGAACCAGCCAAGUCGCGUGAGGGAGUACUGCCCUAUGGGUUGUAAACCUCUUUUGUCGGGGAGCAAAAGCCGGACGUGUCCGGCUGUGAGAGUACCCGAAGAAAAAGCAUCGGCUAACUCCGUGCCAGCAGCCGCGGUAAUAAGGGGGAUGCGAGCGUUAUCCGGAUUUAUUGGGUUUAAAGGGUGCGCAGGCGGAUUUUUAAGUCAGCGGUAAAAUCGUGGGGCUCAACCCCAUCCAGCCGUUGAAACUGGGGAUCUAGAGUGUGCGAGAGGUAUGCGGAAUGCGUGGUGUAGCGGUGAAAUGCAUAGAUAUCACGCAGAACCCCGAUUGCGAAGGCAGCAUACCGGUGCACAACUGACGCUCAGGCACGAAAGCGUGGGUAUCGAACAGGAUUAGAUACCCUUGUAGUC